UAUAAAUUUGUCUGCUAAAUAUUGACGACGUAGAUGUAGUGGAGGAUCACCACAUUCUACUUGAAGAGCAUUGAUAGGACUUGACCGCAUAGCACCAGAAACUACUCGUAAAGCUUUGGACUGUAUGAGAUCUAGUUUUUUAAAUGCCUUAACACUACCAGGCUCCAGCAAGAAUGUACCAUAAUCUAAUAUACUUCUUAUAAGAGCAUUAUAUAACAAUUUCAUGCAAAAAGGGUGCGCACCCCACCAAACACCUGACAGACAUCUUAAAAUAUUAAGAGUACGCUCACAUUUAGCAUUUAGGUAAUCACAAUGUGGGAUACCAGUUAGUUUCGAAUCUAAGACAAUUCCCAAAAACUUAACAUUAUCUUUAACUGGAAUCUGAUAACCCUCAUAAAAUAUAGAAAUAGGAGGAGGAGUUCUUGAUCUCGUGAAUAAAACUAUUGUACUUUUUUCAGGUGAUAGAUCAAGGCCGUUUAAGUCCAACCAAGUUUUUAAAUUUAUCAGCGGUUGUGUUAUAGAAGAACUAGCUUUUUCAAUAGAAAUAUCACGACAGUAAAUUAAUAGAUCAUCAGCAUACUGAAGAACAUUUACACUAUUAAGUGAUGAUUUUAAAUCGUGUGUAUAAAUAUUAUACAAUGUUGGGCUAAGUACUGAUCCCUGGGGGAGGCCCUUUGAAACAAGUCGAGUAAUUGACUUCCUGUCAUCUACUUUCAGGGUUAUGUAUCUUUCGGAAAGCAUGUUUAUGAUAAAAUUUGUUAAUAGCAGAGGUAUAUUAAGUUGUAAAAGCUUACUCUUUAAAAUACUUAUUACGACAUUAUCAUAGGCACAAUUUAUAUCUAAGAACGCAGCUAUUACUGAUUUAUUAUUUGAAAAUGAUAAUUGAAUUUCAGAAAUGAAUAUACUUAAGCUAUCAAUAGUACUUUUCCCACGUCUGAAGCCGAAUUGGGAUUCACAUAAUAGACCGUUAUGCUCAAGAAACCAUUCUAAACGAUUUUUUAUAAGAUGUUCUGUAAUUUUCAUCAAAACAGAAGAAAGUGCGAUUGGGCGAUAGGCAGAAUGGUCUGAAGAACACCUAUUAGGUUUCAGUAAAGGAAUUAUUUCUUGACGUUUCCACGUGGAGGGGAUGUUACUAGAUGUCACUAUGGAAUUUAUAAGAGAUAAAUAAUAAAAUAAAGCAUCAUCAUCUAAAUGAGAGAUAAAGGAAUACGGAAUACCAUCCAGCCCAGGAGCAGAAUCCUUAACAUGAGACAAUACACCUUUUAGUUCAGUGAGAGAAAAUAUACUGUUUAAACCAAAACAGUUAUCAUUAUUUAUAUUUAUUACAGGGUAAACAAUUAUUAAGUCUUCAGGAACGAAAGGUGGAGCCAAUUUAUCUAAAAAGCUAUUAACUAAAUGAAAAGGGAUUGAUUUUGGAGAUGAAUCUUUGUAUGCAGAUCUAAACCUUCUUAUAUUUUGCCAUACAAGAGAUGGUUUGACAUCAGCAUAUUUUCUUCUCUUUACUGCCUCAGUACAUUCGUUAUCCCACCAAGGAGGAGAAGGAAUAAAACCCAAAGAGCUAUUUUUACUUGGAAAUAUCUCAUUGGCAACCUCAAUAAAGAUUUUUGCUAAAGAAUCUGCACACUGAGAUUCUGUACCUGGAUUAAUUUUUGGAAGUGUUGGAAAUGAUAAUAAUAGUGGGAAGUGAUCACUACCAAAAGUAGAUCGUAAUGGAUCCCAGGACAAAGAAGAAGCAAGAUUAGGUGUAGUGACUGUUAAAUCUGGAGCACUUGGGCCCUCGUCAGGAUGAGAACGUCGUGUAGGACGACCAUCAUUUAAUAUACACAAAUUCACUGAAUCAAAUAUAUCUAUUAAUGUGUUACCAUAACUAUUAGAAGAUAAGUAACCCCAGGAUUCAUGGCGACAGUUAAAAUCACCAAGGAUCAUAAAAGGCUUCGGAAGAAUGGAAAUAAUAUCUUUAAUUUCAUUUAAGAUUGCAGAAGAAGGAUGAGGUAUAUAAAUAGAUACAUAACAGAUAUUUUCAACUAAAGCAGCAAUAAUAGAAAAAUCAUUACUGUGAGAAGGAAUAGAGAAGAGAGAAAAGGAAAGAGGGUGUUUCACAAGCAUGGCUACUCCGCCAUGCCCAUCCACACGAUCUUCUCUGAGACAUGAAUAACCACGAAUCUUAAAUAAAGAUCCUGGUUUUAACCAUGUCUCUUGAAGAGCACAGAUAUAAGGUUUAUAUUUAUUUAAUAAAUAAAUAAGAUCACUUUUUUUUAGGAGUGAUGCUUUGACAAUUCCAUUGAAGAACUUUGUCCAUUAUUUGGUUUAUAAAUUUGAGUAAUUGCAGAAACUAAUAAGGCAGCGUUGGACGGUGAAAAUUCAUUCGAUUGACUAAGAGAUUUUAUAAGAGAAAUAAUUAAAUCAAUUACUGAGGAUUCCAAA